ACGUACACUCCUGCGGGAGGCAGCAGUGGGGAAUUUUGGACAAUGGGCGAAAGCCUGAUCCAGCCAUGCCGCGUGCAGGAUGAAGGCCUUCGGGUUGUAAACUGCUUUUGUACGGAACGAAACGGCCUUUUCUAAUAAAGAGGGCUAAUGACGGUACCGUAAGAAUAAGCACCGGCUAACUACGUGCCAGCAGCCGCGGUAAUACGUAGGGUGCAAGCGUUAAUCGGAAUUACUGGGCGUAAAGCGUGCGCAGGCGGUUAUGUAAGACAGUUGUGAAAUCCCCGGGCUCAACCUGGGAACUGCAUCUGUGACUGCAUAGCUAGAGUACGGUAGAGGGGGAUGGAAUUCCGCGUGUAGCAGUGAAAUGCGUAGAUAUGCGGAGGAACACCGAUGGCGAAGGCAAUCCCCUGGACCUGUACUGACGCUCAUGCACGAAAGCGUGGGGAGCAAACAGGAUUAGAAACCCCGGUAGUCCCAUGAU
rnacentral:rRNA from 1 species